AAGACUUUAAGUUAACCAAACUAUUAGCCUUCAAAGCUAUCAAUAUAAGUAAACCCUUUUAAGUUUUA
rnacentral:tRNA from 1 species